AAGUCGUAACAAGGUUUCCGUAGGUGAACCUGCGGAAGGAUCAUUAUUGAAUUAUAAGCGAUGGUUGUAGCUGGUCCCUCGGGGCAUGUGCACGCCUUAGCUCUUAAUCCACUUACACCUGUGAACUCGAGUGCCGGUUCGUCUCUCGGGACGGACGGCAUGUAUCACAUAUACUCUUGUAUGUCUCAGAAUGUCAUUUGUUGCCUUAACGCAAUUUAAAUAUAACUUUCAACAACGGAUCUCUUGGCUCUC
rnacentral:misc_RNA from 1 species